rnacentral:rRNA from 1 species
UACGUAGGGUGCGAGCGUUAAUCGGAAUUACUGGGCGUAAAGCGUGCGCAGGCGGUUCGUUAAGUCAGAUGUGAAAGCCCCGGGCUCAACCUGGGAACUGCAUUUGAAACUGGCGGGCUUGAGUAUGGCAGGGGGGGGUGGAAUUCCGCGUGUAGCAGUGAAAUGCGUAGAGAUGCGGAGGAACACCGAUGGCGAAGGCAGCCCCCUGGGCCAAUACUGACGCUCAGGCACGAAAGCGUGGGGAGCAAACAGG